rnacentral:rRNA from 1 species
UACGUAGGGUGCGAGGGUUAAUCGGAAUUACUGGGCGUAAAGCGUGCGCAGGUGGUGAGCUGUGUCCGAUGUGAAAGCCCCGGGCUUAACCUGGGAAUGGCAUUGGAAACUGGCUCGCUGGAGUGUGGCAGAGGGGGGUGGAAUUCCGCGUGUAGCAGUGAAAUGCGUAGAGAUGCGGAGGAACACCGAUGGCGAAGGCAGCCCCCUGGGCUAACACUGACGCUCAGGCACGAAAGCGUGGGGAGCAAACAGG